rnacentral:rRNA from 1 species
CCCUUAGAUGUCCUGGGCCGCACGCGCGUUACACUGAUGCACUCAACGAGCAUAUAACCUUGGCCGAGAGGCCUGGGUAAUCUUGUUAACAUGCAUCGUGAUAGGGAUAGAUUAUUGCAAUUUUUAAUCUUGAACGAGGAAUUCCUAGUAAUCGCGGUUCAUCAAACCGCAAUGAUUACGUCCCUGCCCUUUGUACACACCGCCCGUCGCACCUACCGAUUGAAUGGUCCGGUGAGGACUCGGGAUUGUGGUUUGGCUCCUUCAUUGGGGCCUGACCGCGAGAACUUGUCCGAACCUUAUCAUUUAGAGGAAGGUGAAGUCGUANCA